rfam:Ornithorhynchus anatinus chromosome 1, whole genome shotgun sequence.
CCCCUCUCAGGGUCGCACCUGGAGAGUUUUCAGUCCUCUACCAGUCUCGACUAUGGGAGGGAGAGUCAAGCAGAGGCCUACCGGUUCCAUUCCUUACUUGGGCAGUGGCUAGCAAAUGGAAGACAAUCUGCUACAAGU